AGCGAACGCUGGCGGCGUGCUUAACACAUGCAAGUCGAACGUGAAAUGUAGCAAUACAGAGUAAAGUGGCGUACGGGUGAGUAACACGUGGGUAAUCUACCAAAGUGUCUGGAAUAACCGAUCGAAAGGUUGGCUAAUACUGGAUAGUUCAAGCUUGUUAUAAUGGCAAGAUUGGGAAAGGGAGCUGGCAACAGCCUUCGCAUUUUGAUGAGCUCGCGUCUGAUUAGCUAGUUGGUAAGGUAAUGGCUUACCAAGGCUGAGAUCAGUAGCUGGUCUGAGAGGAUGAUCAGCCACACUGGAACUGAAACACGGUCCAGACUCCUACGGGAGGCAGCAGUGGGGAAUCUUGCGCAAUGGACGAAAGUCUGACGCAGCCACGCCGCGUGAGUGAAGAAGGCCU
rnacentral:rRNA from 1 species